rnacentral:tRNA from 1 species
UGCUCCUCAGUAUACUUUGUACAUUUGUCUUCCAAACAAAAAGAUUCGAUCCCCGAAAGGAGUAA